rnacentral:rRNA from 1 species
UACGGAGGGUGCAAGCGUUGCCCGGAUUUAUUGGGUUUAAAGGGUGCGCAGGCGGCGCGCUAAGUCAGUGGUGAAAUCCCGCAGCUCAACUGUGGAACUGCCAUUGAUACUGGCGUGCUUGAGUACGGACGAGGUAGGCGGAAUUUAUGGUGUAGCGGUGAAAUGCAUAGAUACCAUAAAGAACACCGAUAGCGAAGGCAGCUUACUAGACCGUAACUGACGCUCAUGCACGAAAGCGUGGGGAUCGAACAGG